rnacentral:rRNA from 1 species
GCCUAAUACAUGCAAGUAGAACGCUGAAGCUUGGUGCUUGCACCGAGCGGAUGAGUUGCGAACGGGUGAGUAACGCGUAGGUAACCUGCCUCUUAGCGGGGGAUAACUAUUGGAAACGAUAGCUAAUACCGCAUAAAAGUCGACAUCGCAUGAUGUUGACUUGAAAGGUGCAAUUGCAUCACUAAGAGAUGGACCUGCGUUGUAUUAGCUAGUUGGUGAGGUAACGGCUCACCAAGGCGACGAUACAUAGCCGACCUGAGAGGGUGAUCGGCCACACUGGGACUGAGACACGGCCCAGACUCCUACGGGAGGCAGCAGUAGGGAAUCUUCGGCAAUGGGGGCAACCCUGACCGAGCAACGCCGCGUGAGUGAAGAAGGUUUUCGGAUCGUAAAGCUCUGUUGUAAGAGAAGAACGAGUGUGAGAGUGGAAAGUUCACACUGUGACGGUAACUUACCAGAAAGGGACGGCUAACUACGUGCCAGCAGCCGCGGUAAUACGUAGGUCCCGAGCGUUAUCCGGAUUUAUUGGGCGUAAAGCGAGCGCAGGCGGUUAGAUAAGUCUGAAGUUAAAGGCUGUGGCUUAACCAUAGUACGCUUUGGAAACUGUUUAACUUGAGUGCAGAAGGGGA